GGUACCAUGGUGUAACGGUUAGCACGUUGGACUUUGGAUCCAGUAAUCCGAGUUCAAAUCUCGGUGGGAAUUUGCCG